GAUAAUUUCUUUUCCAUCAGAUAGUCCCUCAACUUGGUCAGAUGAUGGAAUUACAACACUCAUCCCCACCAAACCAGAAUGGCGCCGAGCAUUAGACAAGCGGUGAGAUAAAUUCUUAGAAUGUCUUCUCCCUGGAGAUCCAACAAACUGGUCCAAUACUUGAUCAUCAGAUUCCAAAUUGUUUGACACAACAGUCACAUCAGACGUGUCCAAUUCAGAAAGUUUGGCGGUGAAAGAGCUCCCGGAAACAUCUAAUUGACAAUUUUGAGAUGACUUCAAUGGAACGCGCAUACUCCCCAGCUGUUGUUUACAUGCCAAACUUCCCAGCUGCCGUUCAGCAA
rnacentral:misc_RNA from 1 species